rnacentral:rRNA from 1 species
UACGUAGGGGGCAAGCGUUAUCCGGAUUUACUGGGUGUAAAGGGAGCGUAGACGGCAUAGCAAGUCUGAAGUGAAAGCCCGUGGCUCAACCGCGGAACUGCUUUGGAAACUGUUAAGCUGGAGUACUGGAGAGGCAAGCGGAAUUCCUAGUGUAGCGGUGAAAUGCAUAGAUAUCACGCAGAACUCCGAUUGCGAAGGCAGCAUACCGGCGCUCAACUGACGCUGAGGCACGAAAGCGUGGGGAUCGAACAGG